GAUGAACGCUGGCGGCGUGCCUAACACAUGCAAGUCGAGCGAUUCUCUUCGGAGAAGAGCGGCGGACGGGUGAGUAACGCGUGGGUAACCUGCCCUGUACACACGGAUAACAUACCGAAAGGUAUGCUAAUACGGGAUAAUGUAUUUUGAUCGCAUGGUCGAGAUAUCAAAGCUUUUGCGGUACAGGAUGGACCCGCGUCUGAUUAGCUAGUUGGUGAGGUAAUGGCUCACCAAGGCGACGAUCAGUAGCCGACCUGAGAGGGUGAUCGGCCACAUUGGAACUGAGACACGGUCCAAACUCCUACGGGAGGCAGCAGUGGGGAAUAUUGCACAAUGGGCGAAAGCCUGAUGCAGCAACGCCGCGUGAGCGAUGAAGGCCUUCGGGUCGUAAAGCUCUGUCCUCAAGGAAGAUAAUGACGGUACUUGAGGAGGAAGCCCCGGCUAACUACGUGCCAGCAGCCGCGGUAAUACGUAGGGGGCUAGCGUUAUCCGGAAUUACUGGGCGUAAAGGGUGCGUAGGUGGUUUCUUAAGUCAGAGGUGAAAGGCUACGGCUCAACCGUAGUAAGCCUUUGAAACUGAGAAACUUGAGUGCAGGAGAGGAGAGUAGAAUUCCUAGUGUAGCGGUGAAAUGCGUAGAUAUUAGGAGGAAUACCAGUUGCGAAGGCGGCUCUCUGGACUGUAACUGACACUGAGGCACGAAAGCGUGGGGAGCAAACAGGAUUAGAUACCCUGGUAGUCCACGCCGUAAACGAUGAGUACUAGCUGUCGGAGGUUACCCCCUUCGGUGGCGCAGCUAACGCAUUAAGUACUCCGCCUGGGAAGUACGCUCGCAAGAGUGAAACUCAAAGGAAUUGACGGGGACCCGCACAAGUAGCGGAGCAUGUGGUUUAAUUCGAAGCAACGCGAAGAACCUUACCUAAGCUUGACAUCCUUCUGACCUCUCUCUAAUCGGAGACUUCCCUUCGGGGACAGAAGUGACAGGUGGUGCAUGGUUGUCGUCAGCUCGUGUCGUGAGAUGUUGGGUUAAGUCCCGCAACGAGCGCAACCCUUGCCUUUAGUUGCCAGCAUUAAGUUGGGCACUCUAGAGGGACUGCCAGGGAUAACCUGGAGGAAGGUGGGGAUGACGUCAAAUCAUCAUGCCCCUUAUGCUUAGGGCUACACACGUGCUACAAUGGGUGGUACAGAGGGUUGCCAAACCGUGAGGUGGAGCUAAUCCCUUAAAGCCAUUCUCAGUUCGGAUUGUAGGCUGAAACUCGCCUACAUGAAGCUGGAGUUACUAGUAAUCGCAGAUCAGAAUGCUGCGGUGAAUGCGUUCCCGGGUCUUGUACACACCGCCCGUCACACCACGGGAGUUGGGGGCGCCCGAAGCCAGAUAGCUAACCUUUUGGAAGCGUCUGUCGAAGGUGAAAUCAAUAACUGGGGUGAAGUCGUAACAAGGUAGCCGUAUCGGAAGGUGCGGCUGGAUCACCUCCUUUCUAAGGAGAAUUACCUACUGUUUAAUUUUGAGGGUUCAUUCCUCAAGAUAGUACUUUGAGCAACGGGAUGUGAGCGAAUGCGAGCAGACGUUGGCGAUGUACGUUAGUACUUUGAAAACUGCAUAACAUUUAGUGAUAUGACAUCAUUUUAUAUAUAGACAAGAUAAGUCUUUAAAAUAUCAUUGAGAAGACAAUCUCUUAAAAAAUCAACUUUAAUAACUUGGUCAAGUUAUUAAGGGUGCAGGGCGGAUGCCUUGGCACUAGGAGCCGAUGAAGGACGUGAUAAGCUGCGAUAAGCUUCGGGGAGUUGCACGUAAACUUUGAUCCGAAGAUUUCCGAAUGAGGAAACUCACUUAGAGUAAUGUCUAAGUAUCGUUAAGUGAAUACAUAGCUUAGCGAGGGGAACCCGGGGAACUGAAACAUCUAAGUACCCGGAGGAAAAGAAAGAAAUUCGAUUCCGUAAGUAGCGGCGAGCGAACGCGGAACAGGCCAAACCAAUGAAGUUUUCUUUGUUGGGGUUGCGGACAUGCAACAUGGAUGCACUAUCGUAAAUGAAGAGAGUUGGAAAGCUCCGCCAAAGAAGGUAAUAGCCCUGUAAUUGAAACGAGAAAGCUACUAGCAUGAUCCAGAGUACCACGGGACACGUGAAACCCUGUGGGAAGCAGGAGGGACCAUCCUCCAAGCCUAAAUACUACCUAGUGACCGAUAGCGCAU
rnacentral:rRNA from 1 species